GCAUAGGAGAGGCCAAGAGAACAGGCUUAGAGCCACUGCCUCCAAGCACCACGGGUUUUGCAGGGAUGAACUUUGGGAGUCUGGACUCUUCAUCCUCAUACAGGCCUACGCUCAGUUCUCCGUACCAUGAAGGCAAGACCACAACUGACCUGGGAUUGGAGCUUUGAAUGCCUGGAUAACUGAGCACAGAGCUCUAGGUUUAGAUAAGAAAGUGCAAGCGUAAGGAGUUCAACUUCCAGCACCUACAUAAGGCCUCGGGACAGGGCCACUAAGAUCUCCCAGGGAUUCCGGAACACAAAGGUCAAGAGCUCUUAAGUGAUGCCUGGCUCCGUAUUGAGUUUCUUUAGUCAUCACAGGACCUGUGUAAAUUAUUAUUCAUGUCUGAAUAUUCAAAUGGCUGGGAUAGAGCAGUUCACUUCUAGGCAGAGAAAAGACCUAGGCAGUGCCAUCAGGUCAGGAGGCACUGACCUGGGCUGGCUGUCAAACCCUACAGUCCCACUCUCACCAG
ensembl:lncRNA